rnacentral:rRNA from 1 species
UACGGGGGGGGCAAGCGUUGUUCGGAAUUACUGGGCGUAAAGGGCGCGUAGGCGGCCAUCUAAGUCAGACGUGAAAUCCCCCGGCUUAACCUGGGAACUGCGUCUGAUACUGGACGGCUAGAGUAUGGGAGAGGGAUGUAGAAUUCCAGGUGUAGCGGUGAAAUGCGUAGAUAUCUGGAGGAAUACCGGUGGCGAAGGCGGCAUCCUGGACCAUUUACUGACGCUGAGGCGCGAAAGCUAGGGGAGCAAACGGG